UAAAAUUGAAUUAUUAAAGAACAUAAAAAAAUUAACUAAAACGCAAAAUAUUUUUUAAGGAUGUUUUGAAAUAAAAAACUAAAAAUAAUAGAUGCUAUUUUGGGUGUGAUCAACAGAUGUAAUGUAGGUACAUAUAUACAAUUAAUAAAGUAGGAUAUAGUUCAACUGAAAAAUAGUGACGUUUUGAUUGUAAUUUAAAAUUUCUGAGUUAACCAGCAUAUGUGCACUCUAUCAUUAAUAAUAUUAACUAAUUAAUUUUCUGUUCAUGUUAGAAAAUGUUCUUAAUGGUAAUUACAGUAUGUAUUAUGUAAAUGAAACAUAAAACGUUAAUAUGAGCUAUAAGAAUAUGCAAUAAAAAAAUAUAGAGGUCUUUAAAAGCUUAAAUGUAACCUUCAUCAAAUUCUCUAACGUUAUUUCAAGGUCAAAAGUCAUUGUGAUAUGUCUCUCUUGAUACUAUAUAACUUUUAUCUGAAACAUUUUUUCGCAUUUCUGAUACUGAAAGAAUCACUUGUAGAUAUUUGAAACGGACAUAACGUACAUAUGUAGAAACGUUGCACAACAUUGUGCACGGUCAGUGUUUCCUUUAAGAAUUCCUUCAGAAAAUCGAUACGAGUAGCCAUUAGCAUCACAUGUAUCAUGAGAAUGUCAAAUUU